AUCAUCAAUGUUCUAAAGGUUGCUUUGAUUUUCUAGGGAUACCAUAGCUUUGUAGGGUGCCAUCUUUUCUUAGUUUCCCAUGUGACAGAGUUAGGUUAUUAGUUUCCCAUCACUGGCAGUGCUUCAUUUUCUGAAUGUGAUACGAUAUUGGUUUUUUACUAGUUUGAGUUUGAUCUUUCUCCAAUUGAAAUACCUAAACUGUCGACUGGUAUUGUGCAUGCAUAAUCUUUGGGACGAAUUGGUAUGACCUCUGUAUGUUCUGACUGCUACAAAAUGUUGAACUAAAUCACUUGGUCUUAACAGGAACUUGGAGAGGCCUAUCAAGUUCUUAGUGAUCCUGGGAAAAAGGAGGCUUAUGAUAAGUAUGGAAAGGAGGGUAUUCCCCAGUACGUUUUGUGCACUCGGUACACUGAAGUUGGAAUAUCUGUAGGUUAGAAAGGAAAUCCAUGUAAUAUUUGUAGAUUUGAAAGGCAAUCCAUUUCCAUAAAUGCUGAGAUAUAUCUAAGCAUGUAAGCGGCAUACUAUGUCAAAUCCCAAGAAUACCAUCAUCGACUUGUUAGUGUUCAUAUGCAAAUAUAAAUACAAAAGGGCCUUUCAUUGACUAAUGUUAUAGGAAAUGGCAUCAUACUAUGCAGUCAAAUCUGCUUGUUAGUAUGUUAGGUUUAUUAUUAGUUCUUUCACCCGUUCAGCAUUGUUCAAUUUUGGGUUAUAUACAGGGCUUGGAUUGAAUGAAGAGGUUCGACGAAGCUAAAGCUGAACUUGAGGAAAUUGUUUACUACCUACGAGAUCCUAAGGCCGCACUUGAAGAAAUCUUAUAUCAGUUUGAGGAAAAACUCCAAGCUGAAAGAGAGGAAGCUGCUAGGAAGCAGGAAGAGUUGCAAGCACAACUACAAGCUCUACAGGCCGCACUUGAAGAAAACCAAAGUUUGCUGCGCCAGGCCCAAGAGGAAGUGAAGGGGAUGCAUACCAAGUUUGAAGAGACCAAUGCACUGCUACGAGCUGUCCUGAAACUUUAGAAAGAUUGAGGUAGGGAUGCAUACCAAGUCUGAGGAUGAUGCCUUUGCUUAAGGUUUUUCUACCUUGCUAGAACAUAUCUGUGGUUAGAACUUUGUCAGAACUACGUGCAAUCUGUUUGAAUGCUUCAAACCUUUGUGGUGGAACCUUUGUAUGUUUGAACCUCUAUUGUGGAAGAACUAGUGUGCUGGAAUUGUGUAUGACUUGUGAUGAGAAUGUUGUGUAUGAUGGCUUUUCUGUGUA